UGGCGACCGGCGCACGGGUGAGUAACGCGUAUGCAACUUACCUAUCAGAGGGGGAUAGCCCGGCGAAAGUCGGAUUAAUACCCCAUGAAACAGGGGUCCCGCAUGGGAAUAUUUGUUAAAGAUUCAUCGCUGAUCGAUAGGCAUGCGUUCCAUUAGGCAGUUGGCGGGGUAACGGCCCACCAAACCGACGAUGGAUAGGGGUUCUGAGAGGAAGGUCCCCCACAUUGGUACUGAGACACGGACCAA
rnacentral:rRNA from 1 species